GAAUAGAAAAAAAUAGAGUGAGAGGGGAAUUGGGCGGAAUUAGAGAAAUAUAUGAAGGGACGGUGAGGAGAACGGACAGAGUUCAAGAGGAGAGAGCGGAAAAACCGAGUAUUGGAAAUUCCCUAGAGCUGUAGACUCUCAUCCUCACCGUAACUAAUUAUGUUUUUCCUUCUCAAUCCAGCUUCUCCAUAAAAAAUCAUCAUUAAAUAAACACCAUCCAACUACAACUAGUAAAUCUCAUAAAAACCCAGUAACACCACCUUGAAUAAAGAUUGGUAACCAUUAUUUCCCCCACCGCCAUGUGAAUCACCUACAACACCAGCAUCUUUCCCCUUCAUUGUUAGCUAGCCAAAUCCUUUGAGUUGAAACUUGGGGUAUUCAGAUCUAAAAAAAAGAAGUCGAGUCAGUUGAAGUCUUUCGUUAGAGGUUCUGGCCGCCGGUUCUAUUUGUUUGCCACGAGGUUCAAUACAUUUGGUUGAUUUUCUAAAGAGAUUUUCAGCAGCUUCAUAAGGUCUGCUCUCAUCUUACUUUUGUUGAUUUAUUUUUCAAUAAUUUAGUGUUGAAAUUGCUUGUUAUUAAUUCUCUGUUGAAUUUCGUGUUAGAUUAAAAUGUGAAAAUGCUUCUGCUUGUUUGUUUUAGUUUUAAUAUAAGAUGAAGAGGGUUAAAUUACAGCAACUCAUUUGAAUUUAAGUGUUUAGAUGCUAUUCUAAAAUAAAGAAUAUUAGUUAGAGUAUAUUGGAAAUAAAAUGACGUAAAGCAUUGAUGCAAAAUUUUAGAGUAACAAGGUGUGUCGUGGGGUUCGGGAAUUAAAAAGUAAAAAUUAAUUUAUUAAUUUGAUCGCUAGGAGCAUAUUUAGGUCGUAACUUGGCUAGGCAAAUCUUAGGUUUUCUUUAUUUUAUUUUUAUUCGAGGCGAGAGGUCGUUCCCUUUAGUUCAUAUUUAGGGAAAUGCCCUGUAGACUUUGUAUAUAUUUUUAUCCGGGGUAUGCCCCGUAGUAUCAUGUAUUUGGAGGCCGUGACAAACCUCAUGGAAAAGUAUAGUAUAUAUUAGUAUUUAGGAUUUUACUUUACUUUUCUUUUUCUAUUUUUUUUAUUAGGUGGGGACGACCUCGAUCCUUUCUUGUGUUUACUUUCCUUUUUCUGUGUUUUAACCUCAAUUUGAAUAUUUUAAAAGCUAACUGGAUCAUAUAUACAAUCGUGAUUUUCACGGGACUCGGGGAAUGUCUAACACCUUCUUCCCAAAUUAAAUGAACCCCCUUAUCUAGAAUCUCUAGUGCAGACUAUGUUUUAGAGUCUAAAUGUGUUUUCAAAAGGAAAAUCAUUUUUUAACGGUGACCUGGUACACCGAAAUCAAAUGUCAGGUGGCGACUCUGAAAAUCCUUUGAAACACAUCUUUUGUCACUUUCUAAUUGAAAAUCCUUUUGAGCUUCAAAAAUCCUUUUAUCUAUUUUUAAAAGGUAUUGAGUGUGAAAAAAGGGGUGUGACACCCCCUAGGCGAAAAAGUUCUACUUGGGUUAAGCUACGUAAAGCAAGCCUGGGCGAAGAGUACUUCUACCCGAAACUAUGAGCUGAAUCCCCCUAGGUAAAAAGUUUCUACAUGGGUUAAGCUACGAAAAUGGGAGGUAUGAACAGUAGUGAUGCAUGCUGCAAAUAAACAAAAAUGGAGAUUUUAAGGAGCUUAUAUUUGAUGAUAUUCGUCCUUUGAGAAUCGCCAUUCUGCACUGCUUUGAUCCUGUUUCAAACAAAGAAAAAUUUGUGAGUUUUUAAAGUGUUGGUCGGUUUGUGGCCUUGAUGUCCUGAGUUGUUUGAAUUCACAGCCACUCUGCUGUCGAAGAACUGAUUUUGUCAGUGUGGUACCGAGGUUCUCGGCUACUCUGUAUCGCUUUCUGGAGACAUUGUCUUUCUGACGUUGCCCCUGGCUGUUUCAUACCCAGAUGUCCAUGGUACCGCUAAUCCUUAUGCCUAAGGCAAGGCAAUUUUCCUUUAAAAUCAAACUUAGUUGUCUAAACAAAAGGUGUCCCUUUCGGGGAGAGGAAUAUGGAGACUUAUCUGGAGGCGUGUGCCGACUUCAAUUAAUCAUAACAUGCAUUUUGGACUGGACACCUGAUCCAUCUGAGCUCUCUAUUUCUCAAAAUCUGUCGCAAAUGUUCAUCUUAAAACUGUUUUGGUUGUGCUCAU
rnacentral:lncRNA from 1 species